AGUGAACGCUGGCGGCGUGCCUAAUACAUGCAAGUCGAACGAAGUGGCGCACGGGUGGGUAAUUUAUAGUUAAUCUGCCCUACACAGAGGAACGACAGUUGGAAACGACUGCUAAUACCCCAUAGUGUAGGAUGAGACUAUAUCGUAUCAGCUAGUUGUUAAGGUAAUGGCUUACCAAGGCUAUGACUCGUAACUGGUCUGAGAGGAUGAUCAGUAACAUUCGAACUGAGACACGGGCCAGGUUCCUACGGGAGUCAGCAGUAAGGAGGAUGACGCAAUGGGGGCAACCCUGACGAAGCAACGGCGCGUGGAGGAUGUCACUUUUCGGAGCGUAAACUCCUUUUAUUAGGAAAGCGGUACCUGAUGAAGAAGCACCGGCUAACUCCGUGCCAGCAGCCGCGGUAAUAC
rnacentral:rRNA from 1 species